rnacentral:rRNA from 1 species
UACGUAGGGUGCAAGCGUUAAUCGGAAUUACUGGGCGUAAAGCGUGCGCAGGCGGCUUUGCAAGACAGAUGUGAAAUCCCCGGGCUUAACCUGGGAACUGCAUUUGUGACUGCAUGGCUGGAGUGCGGCAGAGGGGGAUGGAAUUCCGCGUGUAGCAGUGAAAUGCGUAGAUAUGCGGAGGAACACCGAUGGCGAAGGCAGCCCCCUGGGCUAACACUGACGCUGAGGCACGAAAGCGUGGGGAGCAAACAGG